CUCUCUACCUGAAGGCUGAAGCGCACAUGUAGUGUUUACACCUCUCGUUCUUCAUCCAACGACCCUCUCGAAUCUCCUCCUCUCUGAGCCAUUGGCGAUGAUGAGUGACUGAAUAUUGCGAAUUCGAUCAAGAUUGAUGAUAUUAGGGAUUUAGAUUUACUGUGAUGACUCUUGCGUUUAAUCAUCAUGAGCUUGAUUAGGCAUACAUAGGCAAGAUAUCAGAUUUGUUCGUAGAGGGAAAGCAACACGUUACUUCAUAUCAUUAGUUUCAGGUUGUUUUGCUGCGGAGACAAAAACGUUGGAAGACGUUUGGGUAUGAGCCAUGUCGAAUGAAGGUUACGUCUCUGUCACUCUCACAUACACAAAUGUUACAUAAUACACGAAAAUUCAUAUACAAACCGACAAAAAGAAAACAGAAUACAAACACAUAAACACAAAACGCAUUCAACCACAAUAAAAAAGCAGACUACAAAACACACAUACGCAUCGUAAAGCACAACAAAACUACAAAACACGCAAACAAAACGUCAAACACAACCUAGCGAAAAAAAAACAGAAUACAAAACACUCAAAACACAGCAAAACUCGAACAUACACAAAAAUGAUCAAAACAAAAACAGUAACUCACAAGUCACAACAGAAUUUUUUUACAUACCAAUAAAUGCAAAGUCCUAACAACUACCAUAUUCAAUAGUGUUUAUCGUACCAUUUUUUCAUAUGAUAUUUGUUUCCCAUGAAUCAAAUAAUUUAGUGGUCAAGCGACUAGCUGAAAGAGGUAACUUACUCUGCUUAUUUGUGAUCGAUGAAUAUAUCUUCAGUUUAGGUAUUGUUCUCCUAAUUAUUAUCUCGUGAACAUGUUCUUGAGCUGCAGCAAACAAAAUUUUUGGAAGCAAUACAGACUCCAAGGGGUUUUACUUAAGUCAUACUUUGCUUAUCAAUUAGACUCUAAUGCUUGACAUGAAAGUCAUUUAUGUAAUUAAUAUUCAAGCUUAACUGUUUGAAAAAUUCAUUCAGGUCGCAUUUGUAGUCUUUGAUACAUUCUUAUAGUAACUCAUACACCACUACCAGGUUUCAAAUUCCGCCUCUAAAUCUCGUCUGAAGCCUGAUUUUUUGUGUGUGUGUGUGGCAGUUAGUUUUUUUCUGGUCACGUUGAAUUUAUUAACUGGCUUUCUUUCUUCCUGCUCUACUUUCCAAGAGAUUAUUCUCCGUAGAUGUGCACUAGAUCAAGGUGUGUGGGAAAGAUGGUUCUUCUUCUUGGCUCUCCUAUCCUGAUGUUUUUACUUUUGCCUUGGAUCUCUUCUUACGGUGGUUGCUAGGUAUCUCCUAUUGUCAAACCUUGAACAAUGACCAUUCAUGUUUCACUCAUUAAUCUUGCUCCGGGGGACUUUUAGGUGACAUCUUUUAUUAAUUGUGUGGUUAUGAUUUUUGAGCUAGUUAGAUUCUGGCCUUGUUAAGUGACAGAGAGAACUCCAAUGAACAAUGGGAAAUAAAGGUUUUGAUUGAAGUCUUCAAGCUAUUCUUUAAGAUGGUGAUGAUGCACAACCAAAUAUCUCACGUGGAGUUUUGGCCUUCUUUUCAGAAAUGAAUCACUUACAAUGAGCUGGUUGCGAUCGCUCUAACCUCUCCAGAUAAGUAAGAGACUUCUACCAUUUUAUAGGUUCAAGAGUGGGCUAGUGUAACGUUUCGAGAAUUCUGACUUGGAUGAAUUUGUGGAUGUAAGUCAAGGUAACUUGUCUUUGCGUUCUUUUCUUUUCUUUGGCAGCCACACGACUCUCUGUUGCAGAUCGGCACAACUUACUGCUGCUGGAUCUAUAAAGGAAACAUUAACAAGAUUUGACCAAAACUCUCAGAAAGAGCUAUAUCACUUAAGGAUGCAACUUGCUUGGGAUCAAUUUUGAGAACUUUCGUCCACUUGGGAGAGACGAUCAUUUUUCUUAUUACUUCUUUUAAAGAUGUUCAGAUUUUUGAGUUUCAGAAGCUGUAAAGGCAAAUCAUCAGUCCAGCAGAACCAGUGAGAGUUGGGUAAAUCUCUCUGUCUCUCUUCUCAUGUAUAAAACUACUUACACCAACUCACACAAACAAAAAUCAAAACGUCACGAACACUCAACAAAUCACAAAAAAACUAACACAAAAAUACCGAAUUAAAAGAAUUUCACAAACACUCAACAAAAUCACAAAAACUAACACAGUAAAUACAGAAAUAAAACUACACCAUGCCACGAAAUAAAUUACAAAACUCGACAAAAAAAGACGCGACACGAACAAAACAAAACAACUUCACAAUCACCACAAGACGAGAAUUAUCAUGGGCACUUUUUUUUUUCUAUACGAAAGACUUGUAUACUUCUUAUUUUCUUAUUAUGUUGAAUGCUUCUUUUUUACUUGCUUGAGGUUUGUUGGAUUUAAAAAACUUGAGUUUAAUAUCGUCUAAACAUUGUGUAAAAAAUAAUUGAUUCACGAUUUAUGAGGAUAUCUAUCGGUUCAGUUUA